rnacentral:rRNA from 1 species
UACGUAGGGUGCGAGCGUUAAUCGGAAUUACUGGGCGUAAAGCGUGCGCAGGCGGCUAUACAAGACAGGCGUGAAAUCCCCGGGCUUAACCUGGGAACUGCGUUUGUGACUGUAUGGCUAGAGUACGGCAGAGGGGGGUGGAAUUCCACGUGUAGCAGUGAAAUGCGUAGAGAUGUGGAGGAACACCGAUGGCGAAGGCAGCCCCCUGGGCCAGUACUGACGCUCAUGCACGAAAGCGUGGGGAGCAAACAGG